rnacentral:rRNA from 1 species
GAUGAACGCUAGCGGCAGGCCUAACACAUGCAAGUCGAGGGGUAACAUGAAAAAGCUUGCUUUUCUGAUGACGACCGGCGCACGGGUGCGUAACGCGUAUACAACCUACCUUUUAGCGGGGAAUAGCCCAGGGAAACUUGGAUUAAUGCCCCAUAGUAUAUAGACUUCUCCUGAAGUUUAUAUUAAACAUUUAUGGCCAUUAGAUGGGUAUGCGUCCUAUUAGCUAGUUGGUGUGGUAACGGCACACCAAGGCUACGAUAGGUAGGGGUCCUGAGAGGGAGACUCCCCACACUGGUACUGAGACACGGACCAGACUCCUACGGGAGGCAGCAGUGAGGAAUAUUGGACAAGUGGGCGAGAGCCUGAUCCAGCCAUGCCGCGUGCAGGAAGACUCGCCCUAGUGGGUUAGUAAACUGUCUUUUACAGAGGAAGAACCCACCCCACGUGUGGGGGUUUGACGGUACUCUGCGAAUAAGGAUCGGCUAACUCCGUG